UACAGAGGUCUCAAGCGUUGUUCGGAUUCAUUGGGCGUAAAGGGUGCGUAGGCGGCGCGGUAAGUCGGGUGUGAAAUCUCGGGGCUUAACUCCGAAACUGCAUUCGAUACUGCCGUGCUUGAGGACUGGAGAGGAGACUGGAAUUUACGGUGUAGCGGUGAAAUACGUAGAUAUCGUAAGGAAGACCAGUGGCGAAGGCGGGUCUCUGGACAGUUCCUGACGCUGAGGCACGAAGGCCAGGGGAGCAAACGGG
rnacentral:rRNA from 1 species